UCUUAUCUCUGUUUAUUCACAAAUCCAUGUUUGUUUAAAAUACCUUAUAUGAUUGGCAUCAACGCAGUUUUCUUUUCACAGGGAAAUCUUGAAUGAAGGCUUUAUCAAUCAGUUUGUAGUUUCUUCAGAGCUCAG